GAUGAAGAACGUAGCGAAAUGCGAUAAGUAGUGUGAAUUGCAGAAUUCAGUGAAUCAUCGAAUCUUUGAACGCACAUUGCGCCCCUUGGUAUUCCAUGGGGCAUGCCUGUUCGAGCGUCAUCUACAACCCUCAAGCCCUGCUUGGUGUUGGGCGUCUGUCCCGCCCCCGCGCGCGGACUCGCCCCAAAUCCAUUGGCGGCGGCCCUUGCCUCCCUCUCGCGCAGCACAUUGCGCUUCUCGAGGCGUCGCGGGCCGCGCUCCACGAAGCACGCAAACCAGUCUUUGACCUCGGAUCAGGUAGGGAUACCCACUGAACUUAAGCAUAUCAAUAAGCGGAGGA
rnacentral:misc_RNA from 1 species